UGGGAGCAGUUUCCCACCUGGGUUGAUUUGGUGACUUUCCUGGCAGGCUGAAAAAGGUGUGUGUUUGAUAGGGGUUUUGGAGAAGGCUCAGAGUAAGCUUCCCAAAAUGAUGAAUAGAUGGAAUGGAUAUUUGGUUAGCCAACUGCUCAGCCGUUGGUAAAAGCCCUUCUCCUUGAGGGUCUGUCCAGUGCACAUGCAAUGGUUGUGGGAGUUAACAAAUUCACAUGCAAUUACUGUUCAUAUUCCAGUGAGGCUGUGAUAGCAUUUUUCUUAUAUGCAUAUCUGGAUUUCCCUCCCUGAAAUUCUCCCCGUCUCAGGAGAACCUCAGCCAUGGCUGUCCUGACUCUGGAUGACCCGAGGCAGGUGACGAGGAGGCAGAGAAUGGACUUACUCAAAAAGACAAAGGGCACACCAGUCAAGUUAUUCACCAAGAUGGUCCCCCAGGAGUGCUGCAGGAGCGAAAGGGAAUCUCAAACUAUACCAGGGAUAGUGCAGCUUUUCCUCAUAAUCUACAAACAACAACUGAGCAAUUUCUCACUCUUACAUUUUGCUUUAUCUCCCUUGUAUGGGGAGACAUGGUGAAAGUGCAGAGAAAAAUUGAUAGGGUUCUGCAAUGAUUGCCUGAAGCAUUUGCUUUUACCAGUCUAGCUCUACGUAAAGCCUGUGAAAAGCUGUAAAGAGUUUUGCUAUCCUCACAGCAAAGCUUUUUUACUGUAAGAAUGUGUGUUACAAGGCAUUUAUACCUCAGCAGGGAAUUGUACUCUUUGUAGCUUUAUGGGCAUGCAAUGUGCAUGUCUACACCAUACAAAGUGAAAACACUAACCAAACUGUUUUUCCUGUAAUCAUUG